UGCAGUCGAGCGGAAAGGCCCUUCGGGGUACUCGAGCGGCGAACGGGUGAGUAACACGUGAGCAACCUGCCCCAGGCUUUGGGAUAACCCCGGGAAACCGGGGCUAAUACCGAAUAUGACCUUGCAUCGCAUGGUGUUUGGUGGAAAGUUUUUCGGCUUGGGAUGGGCUCGCGGCCUAUCAGCUUGUUGGUGGGGUGAUGGCCUACCAAGGCGACGACGGGUAGCCGGCCUGAGAGGGCGACCGGCCACACUGGGACUGAGACACGGCCCAGACUCCUACGGGAGGCAGCAGUGGGGAAUAUUGCACAAUGGGCGGAAGCCUGAUGCAGCGACGCCGCGUGAGGGAUGACGGCCUUCGGGUUGUAAACCUCUUUCAGCAGGGACGAAGCGUAAGUGACGGUACCUGCAGAAGAAGCGCCGGCCAACUACGUGCCAGCAGCCGCGGUAAGACGUAGGGCGCGAGCGUUGUCCGGAUUUAUUGGGCGUAAAGAGCUCGUAGGCGGCUUGUCGCGUCGACUGUGAAAACCCGCAGCUCAACUGCGGGCCUGCAGUCGAUACGGGCAGGCUAGAGUUCGGUAGGGGAGACUGGAAUUCCUGGUGUAGCGGUGAAAUGCGCAGAUAUCAGGAGGAACACCGGUGGCGAAGCGGGUCUCUGGGCCGAUACUGACGCUGAGGAGCGAAAGCGUGGGGAGCGAACGAUUAGAUACCCUGGUAGUCCACGCUGUAAACGUUGGGCGCUAGGUGUGGGGGGCCUCUCCUGUGCCGCAGCUAACGCAUUAAGCGCCCCGCCUGGGAGUAGCAAGGCUAAAACUGAACGGGGCCCACACGCGACAUGGGAUACAUGCAAAACCUCCUGGGUGAAACUAG
rnacentral:rRNA from 1 species